GACACAGUGGUGCAGUGGGUAGCACUGUGGCCUUUCAAUUAGAAUGUUGCUGGUUCGAGUCUCCCCGGUGACC